rnacentral:rRNA from 2 species
GGCCUUGUACACACCGCCGUCACACCAUGGGAGUGGGUUGCACCAGAAGUAGCUAGUCUAACCUUCGGGAGGACGGUUACCACGGUGUGAUUCAUGACUGGGGUGAAGUCGUAACAAGGUAGCCGUAGGGGAACCUGCGGCUGGAUCACCUCCUU